rnacentral:piRNA from 1 species
UGAAUUGAUGAUCCUUUGUGUUGGCUGA